rnacentral:misc_RNA from 1 species
GGGAAAAACAACAAAGCUCAUAUAUAUUAGAACACAUCCAAGGUACAUUGUACGAAGGGGGAAAAAGUUAAAAGGAAGCCCCUAACUAAACACUGGAAAACGGAAUUGUAAAAGAAAAUUGAGAUUUCUGCACAACCCGCCAACAUUAGUAUGCGUUACACCUACGACGAAUCAAUAAACAAUCCAAAAAGAGUCAUUUAAACAGUUUGAUCCCAACCAUCAUGAUGAAUAAGGGUCAAGUAGGAUCCACAAAAUCCGUACAAUGACUCGAAUAUAUUCAUUCCUACAUUAGCACCUAAAUAAUCUACACCCAUUCAAUGGAUAUAUAGACAGUAUUGCCAGCAGCCAACUCUUCAUACCGAGGCACACUUUGUCAUCGACCGCCAGCUUCAACACCAACGAAAAGAAUGCUGCAUCUGUUAAAACCCAUUGACUUCUAAGUAACUGAAUCAAGAUGGCAAUGGCUGCUACUCCUGGUUUACAAAUUCAUCAAAUUAGCUUCCGCAGCAAAUAUAGCCUUCUACGAGUCCAACAUCUCAUCCUGGAUCUCAUUAGGAGCAAUAAGCCCUGGAAUAGAAAGCAUUCUUUGUCUCUCCCGUUCUCUCUGAGCAGCAGCUUCUUCAGCAUAAAGAUCUUUAUUGUCCUGAAAAAAGAACCAAGCAUCAAAAAUUGUCGCAGCUCCUUUACAACGCAUUGCCAGGCCUUCGAGAACACCAGUGCAAGGCCCUAUGUCUUGCACAUCAUGCCCCAUAAAUUAAAACCUUUCAUUAUACAGAGACACCGUCUUGCAUAAAAAAUAUUUGGUAGCAUUUGCCAUUGUGGCGAGGGAGAGAAGAAUAAGAAAUCACUGACAUGAACCAUUACCUGAGCUGAAAAUUCUUUUGAUUGCACAAGAAAGUCUCGAAUAUGAUUCUUAAAUACAGAGAGGUCAGUUCUUGACUCAAAUAGUCCAUUAACAAAUUGGGUGACCUGAAAAGUCUUCAUAUCAGUUGCAUGCAAUAGAAAGCAAGAGUAGCAACAAAAGUAAAGGAAAAAAAAAAUACCUCUGAUGCAGUCAUGUUUGGGAAUGAUGUCCCCAAAAGUUUAAUGGUGUAUUCACGAACAAAAAUUGCAUUGUUUGGGUAUGGAUAAGGAACUGUUGUAGCAUCCCAUAAAGGCUCAGUCAAAGCACCACUUUCAACCUGAAAAUGUAGAUCCAAAUUAUAAUUGCACCUGCCUCAAACUAAGAAAAGACACGCAAGGCACAUACCAGACAAAACAAAUGCUGCAACACUAAGACAUGCAGCUUGAAGCCAGGUUUGUGAAAAGUAUCUGUUAAGACGGCAAAUAUUUCCUGCUCAAUUGUGAGAAAGUACGUGCGAUAGAACUGGUUACAGAAUUCAGAAGCCUGAAAGUUCUUGAGCAUCUCCAACAGAAGGUUCAGACCAGUUUCAGCAAUAUUUCUUUCUGUAUGCCGAAAUGCCCAUAUGAUUGAAUCCAUCACAAGCUUCAGUUGCUGACUCGACAACAGAAUCAAAGCAGGAAAACAAUGUGUUGCAAUGGCCCGAAGUAAUGAAAAGAACUUGAGGCGGUGCUCAGGAUAAUCUUCAAAAUUUUUGGUUAUCAUCUCAAGUGUACAUUGGAAAACUGCUUCAAAUAUCCGUGGCACAUCAUCUAUCAUUGCAGCUUUGUACUUGUUUAUAAUUGUUGCAAAAAGUGACAGAACUUCAGAUUCUCUAGCAUCAGGCAAAUUCCUAGCAUAGUCACCAAGAACCGGAUCCAUCAUUGGGGGAACAAAUUGCUUCCCAAUCUGUGGCUGUUCUUCAGCCUUGUCCAAAAAUGUCUCAAUGAGCUUAAGGGUCUCUCUCUUAACCGCUCUUAAAAGCUUCACAUAGGAUGUUCUAGAUGCAUAGGGCCCCCCUUCUGCAAUGCUACUUGAUAUAAGUUCACUAUACAUUCUAUACACAUUAAGCAUGUCCAGGAAGAUUAAAGAGAUUUGGGACAAGAAAUAUGUUCCCA